AUGAUUUUUUUGUAACGGACGAACCCAAGGAUCAACCAAAGCCAAGAUCGAUUAUAUUGAUGAUGAGAACAUUGAGAAGACACAGCUUUUGGAUGAUCACAGAGUUUUCAAUUCUGUUGCACUGAACAGUUUUUGGAUGAUACUAUUGUCUUUAUGUGGUUCUACACAGUAAUAAGUAUUUUCAAACAAUUAGAGCCAGGUACCUUUUGUUAUUGAUGUUUAAUCCAUCUUGUUGGAUUAGUUUUACUGAUUAUAUUAUUUGAAUUGAAAUUAGCAACUGGCUGGGGACUUGAAGGUGGAUGAAGAACCUAUUAUUUUCCUGACAUUGAGAAAUUGUUGUCUGGCGAUAGUGGCAAGCUAAGUUUUCUUUGAGUCGGGUCCUUCAGAAACAAUUUCCCUGUCAUCACAUGGUAGUGAUAAGGUCUACCUUACCAUGGGAUUAUACUGGAUUUUUUGUUGUUUGUAAUCUAAAAUCACUAUCAAUGUCAACUAGGAGGAUAUCCUUCAUUUUUUUUCUUGUCCAAAUCUCAAGCAAGUCUGUGUUUAAGAUUCUAAUAACUGUUUACUACAUUUGAUAGUUGCUGAUCCACUUUCGAGUUUGAAGUCCAUGGGGAUAAUAUGUUGUUACGGUGUCAAGUUGAUGUUCCAAAUCUAGUGCCUUCUACAUACAUCAGACAUGUUAUUUAUCAAAGGCGUCUCCUUUGCUGUCUAGUUACAUCAGUGUUGGUUGGCUUCUGUUGUUUUUUGUUAACAAACCUCUUCAGAAGUUGAAUGAUUUUGAUCUUGUCUUGCAUUUGGUAG
rnacentral:lncRNA from 1 species